GUGUCAGGCUGGACAUGCAGGGCUUUUUGCCUCUGGGGGAUGAGGCUGGUCUGAGGAGGGGAGGUGAGGACCCUGAGCAUGUGCAUCCCUGCAGUGCUAGAAGGACAGCCAGCUGUCAGCAAGUGUCUGCACUGUGGUGGCAGUGGGGUUCAAUAGAAUCAAUAUGGGCUGGCUCCCUGGUGAAAGCAUCUGUACUAAGUGAUUCUGUCCUUCCUCCCUAG
rnacentral:lncRNA from 1 species